CGGCGCGUGGCUCAGCUUGGUAGAGCGCUGCGUUCGGGACGCAGAGGUCGCAGGUUCAAAUCCUGUCGCGCCGACGA
rnacentral:tRNA from 6 species